UCAAGUUAUAAAAAACGCCUAUUAAAUUGGUGAGAUUAAAUUAUUUUUGAGCAAUGAUAUCAGUAUGUAUUCCUUGACAAGAUUUAACCCUUGUAUACCAGGAAUUAUGUGUUUUACUGAACAGAAUAUGAAGUGUAUGAUCUAAGCUGUCAGUCUCUCUUAUUUGUGGUGAUGCUGUGAUAAAUGAAUUCCUGUUUUUUUCUCUUUCAAAUCUAUAGUUUAAAUCCUAGUAUGCCUAAUAAGGCCCUUAAUUAUAUGCUAAUAAUAAUUUUGUAUACAGCCUUAAACACAGAGCAAAAGCCCACACUUUAUACUUAAGCUUUGAAUCAUUCCACAGUGACAAGUGUAAAAAAAUGCAAAUAUGCAAGCAGCCUCAUUUAUAUGCACAAUUUAAAACAAAAUCAAAAGUAAAUACUGAUACAAUGACAACCCCUUAUAUUGGCUUAUGGACACAAUAUGUCCAGAUUGGGAACAGGCACAGGCGUUAAUGGAAGGGGUAAAAAAAAUGAGUGCCAAACCCUACCUUAAACUGAAACUGUACAAGUGGUGUUAUGACAGUAGGUAAAAUUAGUUGAAAAAGGCUCAGAUCAAUGCACUUCAACAAUAAACAAAACAAUGAAUAAUACUCAAAGUUAUGAUCUUAUAGUAAUAUCCAUUUUUGUCGAGCCUGCAUUUUUGUUCCAUAUCUCAGAUACUAUAAGCAAUAGGUCUAGUACAUUCAGUGUAUGUAAGGACUGUAAGGUGUACAUGUCCAACUGGCAGGUGUCAUCUAACUUUGACCUCAUUUUUGUGUUUGUGUUUUGGUCUUUUUCUUUAACUAUUAACAAUAGGUCAACUAUGUUUGUUGUAUGGAUGAAUUGUUAGCUGUACAUGUCUGCUGGCAUUGUUUAAUCU
rnacentral:lncRNA from 1 species